rnacentral:rRNA from 1 species
AUAAGGGCGCACGGUGGAUGCCUUGGCACUAGGAGCCGAUGAAGGACGGGACUAACACCGAUAUGCUUUGGGGAGCUGUAAGUAAGCUAUGAUCCAGAGAUUUCCGAAUGGGGGAACCCAAUAUCUUUUAUAGGAUAUUACUUUUCAGUGAAUACAUAGCUGAUUAGAGGUAGACGCAGAGAACUGAAACAUCUUAGUACCUGCAGGAAGAGAAAGAAAAUUCGAUUCCCUGAGUAGCGGCGAGCGAAACGGGAAGAGCCCAAACCAACAAGCUUGCUUGUUGGGGUUGUAGGACUCCAAUAUGGUAGUCUGUUAGUAUAGUUGAAGGAUUUGGAAAAUUCCGCUAAAGAGGGUGAAAGCCCCGUAGACGAAAUGCUGACAACACCUAGGAGGAUCCUGAGUACGGCGGAACACGAGAAAUUCCGUCGGAAUCCGCGGGGACCAUCCCGCAAGGCUAAAUACUCCCUAGUGACCGAUAGUGAACCAGUACCGUGAGGGAAAGGUGAAAAGCACCCCGGAAGGGGAGUGAAAUAGAUCCUGAAACCGUGUGCCUACAACAAGUCAAAGCUCGUUAAUGAGUGAUGGCGUGCCUUUUGUAGAAUGAACCGGCGAGUUACGAUUGCAUGCGAGGUUAAGUCGAAGAGACGGAGCCGCAGCGAAAGCGAGUCUGAAUAGGGCGAAUGAGUAUGUAGUCGUAGACCCGAAACCAUGUGAUCUACCCAUGUCCAGGUUGAAGGUGCGGUAAAACGCACUGGAGGACCGAACCCACGUACGUUGAAAAGUGCGGGGAUGAGGUGUGGGUAGCGGAGAAAUUCCAAACGAACUUGGAGAUAGCUGGUUCUCUCCGAAAUAGCUUUAGGGCUAGCCUCGGAAUUGAGAAUGAUGGAGGUAGAGCACUGUUUGGACUAGGGGCCCAUCUCGGGUUACCGAAUUCAGAUAAACUCCGAAUGCCAUUCAUUUAUAUCCGGGAGUCAGACUGCGAGUGAUAAGAUCCGUAGUCGAAAGGGAAACAGCCCAGACCACCAGCUAAGGUCCCAAAAUAUAUGUUAAGUGGAAAAGGAUGUGGGGUUGCACAGACAACUAGG